GAUUAAGCCAUGCAUGUCUCAGUUUAAGCAGCUCCAUAGCAACACUGUGCAUGGCUCAUUAAAACAGCCACAACCUGGGUCGUGGUCCUGCUACAUGGAUAUCUUCGGCAAUUCUGCAGCUAAUACAUGCACCAGCAUUCACCUGUGGUGAGUUGUGGUUGUUGCAUUCAGAAUUAAUGCAAGCUGUGCUUGAUGACCAGAUGAAUCAUUACAACUGCAUGGAUUGUAGUUUGUACACUGUUGAUGCUCUAUCAAGGUUUCUGACCUAUCAGCUUCCGAUGGCAGGGUAAAGGCCUACCGUGGCAGUGACAGGUGACGGAGGAUUAGGGUUUGACUCCGGAGAGGGAGCCUGAGAAAUGGCUCCCACAUCUAAGGAAGGCAGCAGGCGCGUGAAUUGCCCAAUCCUGAGAGAGGGAGGUAGUGACAAAAAAUAGCGAUACAAGGCAUCCAUGUUUUGUAAUUGGAAUGAGGGAUCAGUAAAUGUCGUUUUGAGUACCAAUUGGAGGGCAAGUCUGGUGCCAGCAGCCGCGGUAAUUCCAGCUUCAAUAGCGUAUGUUAGAGUUGUUGCAGUUAAAAGGCUCGUAGUUGGAUUUCUGCUGGAGAUUGCUGGUCCGCCCUUCGGGUGAGUAUCUGGUGUGUCCUUGGCAUAUUCUUUGGAGGUGCAACUGCACUUGACUGUGUGGUGCACUUUUGAAGACGUUUACUUUGAGGAAAUGAGAGUGUUUAAAGCAAGUUUUUGCCUUGAAUACAAAAGCAUGGAAUAGUCGCAGAAUCUUGGCCUCAUUUUGUUGGUUUCUGGUGC
rnacentral:rRNA from 1 species